UACGUAGGGUGCGAGCGUUGUCCGGAAUUAUUGGGCGUAAAGGGCUCGUAGGCGGUCUGUUGCGUCAGGAGUGAAAACUCGGGGCUUAACCCCCGAGCCUGCUUCUGAUACGGGCAGACUAGAGGUAUGCAGGGGGAGAACGGAAUUCCUGGUGUAGCGGUGAAAUGCGCAGAUAUCAGGAGGAACACCGGUGGCGAAGGCGGUUCUCUGGGCAUUACCUGACGCUGAGGAGCGAAAGUGUGGGGAGCGAACAGG
rnacentral:rRNA from 1 species